UAAUAGCUCACUGGUCGAGUCGGCCUGCGCGGAAGAUGUAACGGGGCUAAACCAUGCACCGAAGCUGCGGCAGCGACGCUUAUGCGUUGUUGGGUAGGGGAGCGUUCUGUAAGCCUGUGAAGGUGGCCUGUGAGGGUUGCUGGAGGUAUCAGAAGUGCGAAUGCUGACAUAAGUAACGAUAAAGCGGGUGAAAAGCCCGCUCGCCGGAAGACCAAGGGUUCCUGUCCAACGUUAAUCGGGGCAGGGUGAGUCGACCCCUAAGGCGAGGCCGAAAGGCGUAGUCGAUGGGAAACAGGUUAAUAUUCCUGUACUUGGUGUUACUGCGAAGGGGGGACGGAGAAGGCUAUGUUGGCCGGGCGACGGUUGUCCCGGUUUAAGCGUGUAGGCUGGUUUUCCAGGCAAAUCCGGAAAACCAAGGCUGAGGCGUGAUGACGAGGCACUACGGUGCUGAAGCGACAAAUGCCCUGCUUCCAGGAAAAGCCUCUAAGCAUCAGGUAACAUCAAAUCGUACCCCAAACCGACACAGGUGGUCAGGUAGAGAAUACCAAGGCGCUUGAGAGAACUCGGGUGAAGGAACUAGGCAAAAUGGUGCCGUAACUUCGGGAGAAGGCACGCUGAUAUGUAGGUGAAGCGACUUGCUCGUGGAGCUGAAAUCAGUCGAAGAUACCAGCUGGCUGCAACUGUUUAUUAAAAACACAGCACUGUGCAAACACG
rnacentral:rRNA from 1 species